CAAGAGCGUAUAUUAAAGUUGCUGCGGUUAAAAAGCUCGUAGUUGGAUUUCAGUCUAGGAAGGUUAACUCGCCGAAAGGUUGUACGUUGAUUUUCCUCAGACUUCGUCAGAAGCUCGUGCUGCACUUAACUGUGUGGUACGAUGUUCUGACCUUUUACCUUGAGGAAAGUAGAGUGUUUCAGGCAGGCUACCCAGCUUGAAUACAUUAGCAUGGAAUAAUGAAAUGGAUCUCGGUUCGAUUUCGUUGGUUCUAGAGCUGAGGUGAUGAUCAAUAGGAACAGGCGAAGGUAUUCGUACUUGAGAGUGAGGAGUGAAAUCCGAUGAUCUCUUAAAGACGAUCCGAGGCGAAAGCAUUUGUCAAGGAUAUUUUCAUUGA
rnacentral:rRNA from 1 species